UGAUAUUUCCAGUUGGGCCCCUGGAAAUAUCAAAGGAUAUAUCUCUCAUCUUGUAGAUAUACCAACUAAUAAGGCUAUUUGGAUUAUGUUAAAGGAAGAAGAGGAAUCUAGGCUGCAGAAGCAAUGUAAAGAUAGGUGGCAGGCCAGUUAAUGGCUGCUUUACACAGUGAUCUGCCUUCAAGGAGACCCAGUCUACUGCAUUGGUUUUCGAUGUGGAAAGCCAGGGCUUCAGCAAAUUCAGCUUAUGAAGAGUCCCUGCAGAAUUGCCAGCCAAGAGUUGGGUCAUGGAAACGGACCUACCCUGGAGACAAAGGGCUCCAGGUCAGAGCCACAGACCCUGUUCACUCGAAGCUGAAAAGCCCUUCACUCGGCCCAGCUUCCAAACUAACAACUGCAUUCGAGGAGAUGGCUAAGCAGGGUGAAUAACGCUGCAGGCAGAACUGUAUAUUAAAAAUGUUCUCCUUUUAGAAA